UGGGGAAUUUUGGACAAUGGGCGAAAGCCUGAUCCAGCAAUGCCGCGUGUGUGAAGAAGGCCUUCGGGUUGUAAAGCACUUUUGUCCGGAAAGAAAUCCUUGGCUCUAAUACAGUCGGGGGAUGACGGUACCGGAAGAAUAAGCACCGGCUAACUACGUGCCAGCAGCCGCGGUAAUACGUAGGGUGCAAGCGUUAAUCGGAAUUACUGGGCGUAAAGCGUGCGCAGGCGGUUUGCUAAGACCGAUGUGAAAUCCCCGGGCUCAACCUGGGAACUGCAUUGGUGACUGGCAGGCUAGAGUAUGGCAGAGGGGGGUAGAAUUCCACGUGUAGCAGUGAAAUGCGUAGAGAUGUGGAGGAAUACCGAUGGCGAAGGCAGCCCCCUGGGCCAAUACUGACGCUCAUGCACGAAAAGCGUGGGGAGCAAAACAGGAUUAGAUACCCCUGGUAGUCCACGCCCUAAAACGAUGUCAACUAGUUGUUGGGGAUUCAUUUUCCUUAGUAACGUAGCUAACGCGUGAAGUUGACCGCCU
rnacentral:rRNA from 1 species